rnacentral:rRNA from 1 species
GACGAACGCUGGCGGCGUGCUUAACACAUGCAAGUCGAACGGAAAGGCCCUGCUUGCAGGGUCCUCGAGUGGCGAACUGGUGAGUAACACGUGGGUGCUCUGCCCUGCACUUCGGGAUAAGCCUGGGCAACUGGGUCUAAUCCCGGAUAGGAGCCAUUUUUAGUGUGAUGGUUGGAAAGUUUUUUCGGUGUAGGAUGAGCUCGCGGCCUAUCAGCUCGUUGGUGGGGUAAUGGCCUACCAAGGCGGCGACGGGUAGCCGGCCUGCGAGGGUGGACGGCCACAUUGGGACUGAGAGACGGCCCAGACUCCGACGGGAGGCAGCAGUGGGGAAUAUUGCACAAUGGGCGCAAGCCUGAUGCAGCGACGCCGCGGGGGGGAUGACGGCCUUCGGGUUGUAAACUCCAUUCGCUAUGGACGAAGCUUUUUGUGACGGUACCUAGAUAAGAAGCACCGGCUAACUACGUG